rnacentral:rRNA from 1 species
CGUCGCAAGACCAAAGAGGGGGACCUUCGGGCCUCUUGCCAUCGGAUGUGCCCAGAUGGGAUUAGCUUGUUGGUGGGGUAACGGCUCACCAAGGCGACGAUCCCUAGCUGGUCUGAGAGGAUGACCAGCCACACUGGAACUGAGACACGGUCCAGACUCCUACGGGAGGCAGCAGUGGGGAAUAUUGCACAAUGGGCGCAAGCCUGAUGCAGCCAUGCCGCGUGUAUGAAGAAGGCCUUCGGGUUGUAAAGUACUUUCAGCGGGGAGGAAGGGAGUAAAGUUAAUACCUUUGCUCAUUGACGUUACCCGCAGAAGAAGCACCGGCUAACUCCGUGCCAGCAGCCGCGGUAAUACGGAGGGUGCAAGCGUUAAUCGGAAUUACUGGGCGUAAAGCGCACGCAGGCGGUUUGUUAAGUCAGAUGUGAAAUCCCCGGGCUCAACCUGGGAACUGCAUCUGAUACUGGCAAGCUUGAGUCUCGUAGAGGGGGGUAGAAUUCCAGGUGUAGCGGUGAAAUGCGUAGAGAUCUGGAGGAAUACCGGUGGCGAAGGCGGCCCCCUGGACGAAGACUGACGCUCAGGUGCGAAAGCGUGGGGAGCAAACAGGAUU